rnacentral:rRNA from 1 species
UAACGCGUGAGUAACCUGCCUUUCAGAGGGGAGUAACGUUCUGAAAAGAAACGCUAAUACCGCAUAAGAUUGUAGUUUCGCAUGGAGCAGCAAUCAAAGGAGCAAUCCGCUGAAAGAUGGACUCGCGUCCGAUUAGAUAGUUGGCGGGGUAACGGCCCACCAAGUCGACGAUCGGUAGCCGGACUGAGAGGUUGAUCGGCCACAUUGGGACUGAGACACGGCCCAG